GACGAACGCUGGCGGCGUGCUUAACACAUGCAAGUCGAACGCUGAAGCUUGGUGCUUGCACUGGGUGGAUGAGUGGCGAACGGGUGAGUAAUACGUGAGUAACCUGCCCUUGACUCUGGGAUAAGCCUGGGAAACUGGGUCUAAUACUGGAUACGACAUGUCACCGCAUGGUGGUGUGUGGAAAGGGUUUUACUGGUUUUGGAUGGGCUCACGGCCUAUCAGCUUGUUGGUGGGGUAAUGGCUCACCAAGGCGACGACGGGUAGCCGGCCUGAGAGGGUGGCCAGCCACACUGGGACUGAGACACGGCCCAGACUCCUGCGGGAGGCAGCAGUGGGGAAUAUUGCACAAUGGGCGGAAGCCUGAUGCAGCGACGCCGCGUGAGGGAUGACGGCCUUCGGGUUGUAAACCUCUUUCAGCACGGAAGAAGCGAAAGUGACGGUACGUGCAGAAGAAGCGCCGGCUAACUACGUG
rnacentral:rRNA from 1 species